rnacentral:rRNA from 1 species
UACGGAGGGUGCGAGCGUUGUCCGGAAUCACUGGGCGUAAAGGGCGCGUAGGCGGCUACGUAAGUCACUUGUGAAAUCCCGGGGCUCAACUCCGGGGCUGCAGGUGAGACUGCAUGGCUCGAGCUCGGCAGGGGCGAGUGGAAUUCCCGGUGUAGCGGUGGAAUGCGUAGAUAUCGGGAAGAACACCAGUGGCGAAGGCGGCUCGCUGGACCGAUGCUGACGCUGAGGCGCGAAAGCGUGGGGAGCAAACAGG